GGAUCUAGACUUUGAUCAUGGCUCAGGAUGAACGCUAGCUACAGGCUUAACACAUGCAAGUCGAGGGGAAACGACAUCGAAAGCUUGCUUUUGAUGGGCGUCGACCGGCGCACGGGUGAGUAACGCGUAUCCAACCUGCCCACCACUUGGGGAUAACCUUGCGAAAGUAAGACUAAUACCCAAUGAUAUCUCUAGAAGACAUCUGAAAGAGAUUAAAGAUUUAUCGGUGAUGGAUGGGGAUGCGUCUGAUUAGCUCGUUGGCGGGGUAACGGCCCACCAAGGCAACGAUCAGUAGGGGUUCUGAGAGGAAGGUCCCCCACAUUGGAACUGAGACACGGUCCAAACUCCUACGGGAGGCAGCAGUGAGGAAUAUUGGUCAAUGGACGAGAGUCUGAACCAGCCAAGUAGCGUGCAGGAUGACGGCCCUAUGGGUUGUAAACUGCUUUUAUAAGGGAAUAAAGUGAGUCUCGUGAGACUUUUUGCAUGUACCUUAUGAAUAAGGACCGGCUAAUUCCGUGCCAGCAGCCGCGGUAAUACGGAAGGUCCGGGCGUUAUCCGGAUUUAUUGGGUUUAAAGGGAGCGUAGCCGGAGAUUAAGCGUGUUGUGAAAUGUAGACGCUCAACGUCUGCACUGCAGCGCGAACUGGUUUCCUUGAGUACGCACAAAGUGGGCGGAAUUCGUGGUGUAGCGGUGAAAUGCUUAGAUAUCACGAAGAACUCC
rnacentral:rRNA from 1 species